rnacentral:rRNA from 1 species
AUUGAACGCUAGCGGGAUGCUUUACACAUGCAAGUCGAACGAGCGGCGGCGGGGGGAGAAAUGUAUGGGGACUGCCCGAUAGAGGGGGAUAACUACUGGAAAGGGUAGCAAAUACCGCAUACUAUCGGAUAACCCAUAUGGGAUUAGCGAGUAGGUGAGGUAAUGGCUCACCUAGGCGACGAUCCCUAGCUGGUCUGAGAGGUUGAUCAGCCACACUGGGACUGAGACACGGCCCAGACUCCUACGGAGGCAGCAGUGGGGAAUAUUGCACAAUGGGCGCAAGCCUGAUGCAGCCAUGCCGCGUGUAUGAAGAAGGCCUUAGGGUUGUAAAGUACUUUCAGUGGGGAGGCGUUACCGACAGAAGAAGCACCGGCUAACUCCGUGCCAGCAGCCGCGGUAAUAC